rnacentral:rRNA from 1 species
AAAGACUUGACGGUACUUCACACCAACCUAGAGGAGCCUGUCCCAUAACCGAUACUCCACGAUUAACCCCACCCACCCUAGCCUUACAGUCUAUAUACCGCCGUCGCCAGCUCACCUUGUGAAAGAAAUAAAGUGAGCAUAACAAGCCACCCUUAACACGACAGGUCGAGGUGUAACUAAUGAGUGGGCAAAAGAUGGGCUACACUUUCUAAUACAGAAAAUACGGAUCCAAACCAUGAAAUAAGAAACUGAAGGCGGAUUUAGCAGUACGAUAAGAACACAAUACUUA